rnacentral:rRNA from 1 species
CCGUAGCCCAAUAGAUCGGGAUAACACCUGGAAACAGAUGCUAAUACCGGAUAACAACAGAUGAUGCCUAUCAACUGUUUAAAAGAUGGUUCUGCUAUCACUCUUGGAUGGACCUGCGGUGCAUUAGCUAGUUGGUAGGGUAACGGCCUACCAAGGCGAUGAUGCAUAGCCGAGUUGAGAGACUGAUCGGCCACAUUGGGACUGAGACACGGCCCAAACUCCUACGGGAGGCAGCAGCC